ACGAUGACUGAAUGUUAAAGAAUUAUAUAUUGUUUGUCUUAUUUUUCAGAUGAAAAACAUUAGUGCUCAUUGGCAAAAUCCUUGUAUCCAUGAACCUCGGUCAGCUCGAAAAGGGGAAAACAAAAAGAAAGGAAACAGAGGACAUCAUAUUUCCUUGAUAGACAGAAAAUCUGCAGAGGAACAUUCAAGUUCCAACACAAUUUCUACAGAUAAGCUGACUGCAGUGCUAAAGUUCUACAAGGAACAUGGUGUGGCUCCAAGGAAGAAAAGGUGUGGGGGUCGUUUUGCUAGCAAACGGGUGCUGUCCUGCAAGGACUUUCAGCGAAUCGUCCACUAUGUCAACAACUUCGCCGAUGUCCACGCAAUGCCACUGCCUGGACGGAUCCCUGUAUUUAAAAGGGCAGACAUCCGGGUGCUACCGGCAUUUGAGACCAAGUCCUCCGUGUGGCGGAAGUACAAAACGUUGAUGCGUGAUCAUGGAGAGCGUUUUCUUAAAUCGUGAUACUUAUAGUUCGUCAGCUCAAGCCAGUGGACCAGCGGCAAAGACUCUAACCAAACCCCACACAAAUUGGAUCCUAAGAGGCUCUGUCCUCACUGGUGAUGAGUGUGGGGUCAUAUUUUCUUUCAUGUUUCUCAUUGGAGUAUCACCUUAGAUAGACCAGAACUUACUCUGACCCCCUCAAUCCCCUUCCCUGAUUUAGCUCUUUUCAGAUGUAAUUUACUCUGUGCCUAUACACUUUCUCUGUGAAUUGUAAGAGAUGUUAUUUAAUGUGGUAAUUUAUUCAUUAUUUAUCCUCCCAUGCCUUAUUUUCAAAUGUAAUCUGACACGGAAAAAAUAAGGGCCACAACCAUGGUAUGUGAGAGGACUACAUGGGAUGUGCACACGUUUGUGUGCAUGUGUAUGCAGUGGUGUAAAGUACUUAAGUAAAAAUACUUUAAAGUACUACUUAAGUAGUUUUUUAGGGUAUGUAUACUUGACAAUUUUUACUUCACUACAUUCCUAAUGAAAAUAAUGUGCUUUUUACUCCAUACAUUUUCCCUGACACUCAAAAGUACUAGUUACAUUUUGAAUGCUUAGCAGGACAGGAAAAGGGUCCAAUUCACGUACUUAUCAAGAGAACAUCCCUGGUCAUCCUUACUGCCUCUGAUCUGGCAGACUCACUAAAAACAAAUGCUUUGCUUGUAAAUGAUGUCUGAUUGUUGAAGUGUGCCCCUGGCUACCCGUAAAUUAAAAAAACAAGAAAAUCGUGCUGUCGGGUUUGCUUAAUAUAAGGAAUUUUAAAUGAUUUAUACUUUUACUUUUGAUACUUAAGUAUAUUUUAGUGAUUACAUUUACUUUUGAUACUUAAGUACAUUUAAAACCAAAUAAUUGUAGACUUUUGCUCAAGUCUUAUUUUAC
rnacentral:lncRNA from 1 species